rnacentral:misc_RNA from 1 species
UACGGAGGGUGCAAGCGUUGUUCGGAAUUACUGGGCGUAAAGCGCACGUAGGCGGGUCUUCAAGUCGAUUGUGAAAGCCCAGAGCUUAACUCUGGACGUGCAGUCGAUACUGUUGAUCUUGAAUACCUGAGGGGAUGGCGGAAUUCCCGGUGUAGGAGUGAAAUCCGUAGAUAUCGGGAGGAACACCCGAGGCGAAGGCGGCUAUCUGGCAGUGUAUUGACGCUGAGGUGCGAAAGCGUGGGGAGCAAACAGG